GGAUGUGAGGGUGAUCUGGCUGCCACAUCUGUCACCCCACUGAUCGCCAGGGUUGAUUCAGUUGAUCUGGCUGGCUAAGCGGAUGUCCCCUUCUUCCCUUACCACUCCAUGUGCGUCCCUCCUGAAGCUGCACACUUGAUUGAAGAAGAUGAUUUUCCUCCAUACGGGAGGACCGUUCUUCAGUCAAGUUUAUAUGAGUAGCUGUGCUCUCCUGUGAGAACCUCCAAACAAGCUCUCAAGGUCCAAAAUGGCCACAGGAAGUGGAAGAAGUCCUAAUCUAGGAAUAGCAAACUUCCUGGGGGUUGAAGUU
rnacentral:snRNA from 1 species